UGGUCACAAAGGCGUCUCUGACAUGGAUCCCUUACGUGUUUAUCACCCGGCCCUGGAGGUCUGAGCAGCACAGAUUGAUGAGCAGUGAAGUUUACCAGUCUCAGAGGUUUAUCCAUAUAUUCCAGGCUGGAUUUGGUGCUGUCUAAUGAAAAAAUGAGGAAUUGGUCAGGUUCCCUUCAGGAACUGGAGGAGCAGUUACAUCACUCAAGAGCCUUCUCCAGACUGAACAAUCCCAAUUCUCUCAGUCUUUUGUUUCUCUUAGCCCACCACAAGGCUCACCACAAACACUUUUUACCUUCUAUUUUUUUUCUAAUGGUGCUUUUUUAAAAUCUCUUCUACAGACUCACUUGCUGUGUUUUAAGCAUAUUCACAUACUUUAGUCCAUGUGGCUGUUCAGAAACAAACUACUCAAACUCAUUUAGCAACUGUAAGCAGCGUAUUUAAAUCCCAUUUCACAUUUUAUUGCAGCUUGUAAAUCCAUCAGUAAUUGAUCAGAAAUAUUCUUCAGGUAUUCUGGAUAUGGUACAGUCAGGUACUUAGAAUGCUGCUUUAGGCUUAUUUCCUUUUUAGUGCUAAAAAAAUUGGAUAUUUUCUCCUCAUAGUACUGCCCAUCAUCCAAGUGUUUGAAUGCUGGAGGUGAGAGUUUUCCAGUAGAUGCUCCCUAAUCUCAGAGCUCAGGAAGGACCAGCUCACUUCCUGACGUAGGGAUUACUGAUUUGACUUUUGCAAAUCAUACAUAUUUCUGUCUUCAGCAGCAUUAGCUCCAAUACAUUUGUAUAAUUUAUAAAGCUUUAAUCCCAACAUGUUGUACAGGUUGUAUGUAGUUGACUCUUAUCACACAAUGUUAUCUUGAGCAAAUAUUUAAUUUCUUUAAUCUCCCCAGAAACGCAAAGUGCUAAUUUAUGAUGCAGUUGCAUUCAGGUUGAAUCUUAAUUUCAUGUGUGUAUCACUUAACAGAUGCUCUGGGGAGUGAAAACUCCUAUAAUUAGGUUUGACAUAUGUUUUCAUGCGAGGUGAAAUAGUUUGCAUGCUUCUAGAAUAAAUAUUGACUGCAGCCCGGAUUUAUAAUCCCAGUAAACAAUUGGACAUGUGCUGGGAGUCCUCCACGCCAAGUGUAAGCUGUGGCUUUGGGAGCAUGGACCCUUGUGAUUCCAAAAUAUUGAGUCCUUCCUAAUGGCCUUUUUUUGUUGUUGUUUUUGCUCCAAAAAAGGGCAAGAUCAAAGUGCAGUCUGUUCUUUCCUGCCCUUCUAGAUAUACAAAACAGCUGCAAAGCACAAUCAGCUAUUGUAGUGAUAUGUGCCCCAGGUCUAUAAAUAGAUGGAGAGCUGCAGGCUUGAGCUGUGCUGCUGCACAGGCCAGGGGAUUUUUGCUUGGGGUUACUAAACAUUCCCUUGCUUGUUUGUGGUUUAGAACCAUCAUUUCCGAGGCUGCUAUAUUCCAAUUGAAUUGGAAUUCAAAAGGAUUUUGCCGUGGAAGCUUUUUGUGACUUCGCUGUUUGCAUUUUCUCCUUUCUUUUUUUUUUCUUUUUUUUCUCCUCCAACACACAAGAAUUUUGCAGGUUUCUAAAGAAAGCCAAUUCAAACAUAAUUAUUAAUCUGCUCACUCAAAAAAAAAAAAGAAAUUUAGCUGUGAUGUAUAGCCCUAGUGGGAAGUUUCCAGAGGAGAGUGAGAAUCAGAACCAUGUUUCAUUAAACUGUGGUCUGGCCUCUCCUCCUGGAGCCUGGAAAUGUGGAGUGCAACACUUGAUAAGAGCUUUGUGUUCUCCUGAACUGGGAGGUGGGUGGCUGUGUGAGUACGCUCUGCCUCCUGUGCAGGAGGGAUCAAAUCUGCGUGGCAGAGCCAGAGCUGACAGAGCUGUUCCCAGAUUUUUAUUUUUUUUUUAAUUCAAUAUGCUGCAUAUUUUUUAUUCAUUAUGUUAACUCAGAAGAGCUGUUGAGAGUGUGCAAGCUAAGGACUUGUUAGAUGAUGAGAGAAAAAUUAGUGUAUUUGGCAGAAGUGAGGUGUUGGAGAUAAUUUGGGUUUUGAGUAUCCAGGAGGUGGCUGAAGCUGCUGCUGGCAGAGGUGAAGCAGACUUUAAACUGCUCUUCUCUUUUACCAAGCUCUCUCUUCCCGGGCAAGCUAUUGAUUCCCAUUGCAUUUCAACAACAUUAGCACCUCACAGUAUCAGUAGUGCUGUCCUGCUUUAAAUUUAAAUGAGAGGGAGGGAUAAAAAUAGCUCCUUUGGCAUUUCACAUGGGUACUUUUCAGCUGUAACCUUCAUGCUUUGAGUCAGGUGAACCACUUCACCUUUUGAGUCUUUCUCCUUUCAACAACAGGACCUGAAAAUUGGAUUUACCACUGUGAAUCAGGAGGUCUUGCCCCUCACAGGCAUCUCAUUGAUGGUGCAUAAAUGCAAUCUCAGUAUAUCUGGUCAAUAUUUUCCAAGGCCAUGUGAGGUUAUGGUGGAAAUUCCUCAGAACAGAGCAUGAAUUUCUAAUUUUUAACCUACUUAUUGUUUCUGAAGAAAUAGCAAUAAGAAUGUUGAAGAAAAAAUGUUGACAGUGUUGAAAUCUCGACUGAAAGGAAUUCAUAUUUACCUGAAUUCAAAAAAUGCACCUAAUAUGACCUUUCUCUGUGAAAAUUAGAGCAUGAAAUGGAAUUUUAAAUCAAGUAUGACAAAAACUCGGAAAACUUCUUCUUGCCUGUGUGUUCUGCUGCAUCAGUGACAAUGUCAACUAGACAGGCACACAGCAAAUCUUGGAAACAAAUCAAACUUUUCCUGUAGUUUGCUAUGCUGCAGCCAUUUGAUUUCCAUUUGGUUUGUUUAAACAGCACAAUACAGGUUGUUGAGGGACCUCUGAAGGUGUCUUGUCCAAACUCGGGCUCAGAAGAGGUUUAGAGCUGGGUUUUGGAACAUCUCUCCCACUGUAAUUUGUCCUCAUCAUACCCUGUCCUGGUGCUGUGCUCCUCUGGGGAGCCUGGCUCUCCUCCUGCCCUGUUAGGUGGUUGUAGCGUUCUCCUCUCAAAGCUCCCAAAAUCCAGCUCUGGCCUCACACAUCAAAUGCUUCAGCCCCCUGAUCAUCACCAUCACCAUCAGACCCUGAUGAUCCUCUCUGGUGUCACCCCAGUGCAUCAGCUGCAUCUCUGGGGAGCCCAGAACUGGAGGUGGUUUUCCAGGUGUUGUUGUGAGUGCUCACUGGGAUGCUCUCAGUGCUCAGGUCUCUCUGAGGAGCAGCCUGCCCUGUUGACUGCUGCCAGUUUGUCAUCAUGUCCUGUCCCCCCCAGUUUGGUGUUGGCUGUGAACUCAGUGGUGACAUGAAGUUGUUGUCAUCUUACUCAGACUGAGAUCUGCAAAGCGAGGAGCUCUCACUCUGUGUGGCAAGGAGCCAGAACAAACCUGUGUGCAGGACUUGGUGAAAAAAUCUCCAUCUGAGAGACCCCAGUGCUUCACCUCAUCAGCUUCAAGCAAACAGACCUUUCUAAAGCACAGCAGAACGAGGAGAGGGAAGUGCCAAACCUUGCUCUCAGCUCUUGCUUUCAGGCUGAGACAGCCACAAGGAGAAAGGAUCCGUUUCUCCACAGCCACUGAGGCUCAUCUGUGUGGAGGCAAACACAGUGGGAGAGGCUGAGAGAGAAAAUCAGCCUCCUUCCUGCAGAUUGCACUGAGGAUUUUAGCUGCUUUGGGAGCACUUGGGCUCUUCCUUAGCUUUAGAUUUUGGUUUAUCCUCUCUUUUUCAGUGGAGACAUUUCAAAAUGUAAUUACAAGAUGGAUUCCAUCUCUUCUUAUUGGAACGAAACGGAAUAAAAACAUGCAGAUAUGGAGAUGCACAGAUGAUCCAUCUGGUCACACACAAAAAAAUAGAGGGAGGGAGGGAAAGGAGCAUCUUUUGUUUUCUUUUCCAGCCAGAGGGUUCCUGUGGGAGGCCAAGCUGCAGGCACAGCAGGGAUGUGUGUCCCUCAGCUGGGCACAUCCCUGGGUGCCCGAGGACCUACCAGCCAUCGAGAGGGUCCAGGAGCAGCACAGGUUUCACACCAAAAUCACUGCUUCAGGCUUCAGUGAGCACAGCUACUUUUUU